rnacentral:rRNA from 1 species
UACCCUAUAGACUAUGGAUGCUGGAAUGCUUUGUAGUCGAAAGGUGAGCCGCCGUAGGAUGGGUCUGCGGCCGAUUAGGUUGUUGUUGGGGUAACGGCCCAACAAGCCUGUAAUCGGUACGGGUUGUGGGAGCAAGAGCCCGGAGAUGGAUUCUGAGACACGAAUCCAGGCCCUACGGGGCGCAGCAGGCGCGAAAACUUUACAAUGCGGGAAACCGUGAUAAGGGAACUCCGAGUGCCCGUAAAAUCGGGCUGUCCAUUUGUUUAAAAAACAAGUGAAGAAAGGGCCGGGCAAGACCGGUGCCAGCCGCCGCGGUAAUACCGGCGGCUCGAGUGGUGGCCACUAUUACUGGGCUUAAAGCGUUCGUAGCUGGUUUGUUAAGUCUUUGGGGAAAUCUUCCGGCUUAACCGGAAGGCGUCUCAGGGAUACUGGCAGACUAGGGACCGGGAGAGGUGAGGGGUACUUCAGGGGUAGGAGUGAAAUCCUGUAAUCCUUGAGGGACCACCUGUGGCGAAGGCGCCUCACCAGAACGGCUCCGACAGUGAGGGACGAAAGCUGGGGGAGCAAACCGGAUUAGAUACCCGGGUAGUCCCAGCUGUAAACGAUGCGCGUU